rnacentral:rRNA from 1 species
GACGAACGCUGGCGGCGUGCUUAACACAUGCCAGUCGAACGGAAAGGCCCCUUUGGGGGUCCUCGAGUGGCGCACGGGUGAGUAACACGUGAGUAACCUGCCCUUGACUUCGGGAUAACUUCAGGAAACUGGGGCUAAUACCGGAUAGGAAUCCUUGCUGCAUGGUGGGGGUUGGAAAGCUUCGGCGGUUUUGGAUGGACUCGCGGCUUAUCAGCUUGUUGGUGGGGUAGUGGCUUACCAAGGCUUUGACGGGUAGCCGGCCUGAGAGGGCGACCGGCCACAGUGGGACUGAGAGACGGCCCAGACUCCUACGGGAGGCAGCAGUGGGGAAUAUUGCACAAUGGGCGGAAGCCUGAUGCAGCAACGCCGCGUGCGGGAUGACGGCCUUCGGGUUGUAAACCGCUUUCAGCAGGGGCGAAGCUUGUGGUGACGGUACCUGCAGAAGAAGCACCGGCUAACUACGUG